rnacentral:rRNA from 1 species
AGUGAACGCUGGCGGUAGGCCUAACACAUGCAAGUCGAACGGCAGCACAGAGGAGCUUGCUCCUUGGGUGGCGAGUGGCGGACGGGUGAGGAAUACAUCGGAAUCUACUCUGUCGUGGGGGAUAACGUAGGGAAACUUACGCUAAUACCGCAUACGACCUACGGGUGAAAGCAGGGGAUCUUCGGACCUUGCGCGAUUGAAUGAGCCGAUGUCGGAUUAGCUAGUUGGCGGGGUAAAGGCCCACCAAGGCGACGAUCCGUAGCUGGUCUGAGAGGAUGAUCAGCAACACUGGAACUGGGACACGGUCCAGACUCCUACGGGAGGCAGCAGUGGGAAAUAUUGGACAAUGGGCGCAAGCCUGAUCCAGCCAUACCGGGUGGGUGAAGAAGGCCUUCGGGUUGUAAAGCCCUUUUGUUGGGAAAGAAAUCCAUCUGGUUAAUACCCGGGUGGGAUGACGGUACCCAAAGAAUAAGCACCGGCUAACUUCGUGCCAGCAGCCGCGGUAA